rnacentral:rRNA from 1 species
AUGAAGGCCACCGUGCUGCGCGGCGGCCUCGCUACCGGCGUGACCGUUCACCACGCCGCCUGCGACGGGGUGUCGUCGACGCACUUCCAACGCACCUGGGUCUGGUCGGCGGCAGCCUGCAGCGGUGCGGGCGCGCCUGAGCCGCCCUUUGUCGACCGCUCCAUCAUCUGCCCACGAGACACCUGUACGACGCUUUCAUGGCGCCCAGGCUGUCCAGUAAUGACGAUGACGGUGGGAAACCCCCCGAUUCGCCCAUUGUCCAGCAGCUCCUCGCCACGUUCACGCUGUCCAUGGAGUACCUGCAGAGCAUCAAAGAAGCGGUCGCCAGCAAGGAGGAACGCCUUGGCGUGCUGCCGCCUUGCGCCACAUCAAUCAUCGCGGCGUUCGGCUUCAUCUGGCAAUUGCUACAUCCGAGCUAAACCAGGCACUGAUGGCAAGGUAGCGUCGUCUUGCGGUGGCCGUGCCUACUUUGUCUUACCGGCAGACCACCGGACGAGGCUGGAGCCGCCCGUCCCCGAUGAGUACCUCGGCAACUGCCUCGGUCCGUGCAUCGCGUCAGCGCCCAGGAUGGAUGUCGCUGCCGCCGGCGUGGACGGUCUGUUCACCGCAUGCGCGGCGAUCGUUACGGCCAUUGGCGGAGUGGUGCGCGGCAGUCCCGGAUACUGGGACCGGUGGAUGGAGCGGAUCAGUGGGUGUACAGCACGUGCGACGACUUGUCGCUAA